GGGGGGGGGGGGGGGGGGGGGGGGGGGGGGGGGGGGGGGGGGGGGGGGUCUUCGGGGUACACGAGAGGCGGACGGCUGAGUAACGCGUAGGAACACACCCUGCAGGGAGGGAUAAGACACCGAAAGGUGUUCUAAUACCGCAUACGGUCUUCGGAUUAAAGCAUUUAUGCGCUGAAGGAGUGGCCUGCGUCAUAUUAGAUAGUUGGUGAGGUAAUGGCUCACCAAGUCGAUGAUGUGUAGCUGGUCUGAGAGGAUGAUCAGCCAGACUGGAACUGAGACACGGUCCAGACUCCUACGGGAGGCAGCAGUGAGGAAUAUUUCACAAUGAGCGAAAGCUUGAUGGAGCAAUGCCGCGUGCAGGAUGAAGGCCCUCGGGUUGUAAACUGCUUUUAUAAGAGAAGAUUAUGACGGUAACUUAUGAAUAAGAGACGGCUGACUACGUG
rnacentral:rRNA from 1 species